rnacentral:rRNA from 1 species
GCUUAAGGCCAUGCUACUCUAAACACGCCUGAUCUCGUCUGAACUCGUUAGCAAACCGGACUCGGGCCCGAUUAGUACUUGGAUGGGAGACCACCUGGGAAUGCCAGGUGCUGUAAGUA